UGGCCUCAUCAACUCUUUUACAGGAUAAUGCAAGCUAGAGGCACGAAGAGCAAACAGCCUGAGCAUGAACAUUGAACCUGAUUCUGGACGUAAACACGAGAGCCUGGUAUGGCAGAACUGGUCUCCUGGAAGGACAGGGCUAAGGUCCACGUCCUUCGGGAGGCCUGUCUGCCGAAGCACACUCAUGGCCCAGGCUGCCCUGUGCUUAACGGACCUGGCAGCCAUCUCCCUUGCCUCAAGGAGACUCAGCUAUGAAGAGAGAUGGGGGAAGGCCUUGUAGUGGAGUUUACCUUCUGAACAAGAAAGAGGACCAAUAUAUCAUACUGGGGAGUGGGGACGAGGGACUGACAUACUCGGGUCUCAGUGUCUCCAUCUGUGAAAUGAGGAAUUUGGGCUAGAUG